AGAGAGAGGCAGCUGCUGGCUGUGAACUUCCUGCCACGGAUUGUGCCCUUAUCAGAGCUGUACAAGGUCUCUCAGAAGGAUCCCUGUGCAGCUCCGCCUUCUCGGUCCUUUUCUUCAUGGAAUCAAAGAAUCAGCCUUUUGAUGGAAGGAAGACAUACCACAGAGAUGCUGAAUGUGUGCCCCCCUCUGCACCCAAUAUAAGGUUCAGAGAUGCUUGAAGAUCUGGGUCAGGCUGAAUGUCUCUCCAUUUGUUCUCCAGAUGGGCUGCAGUUACCAGCCCCUUGGUGACUUGUGGGCAGAUCAAAAUCGAUCCUACAGCCCCAGUUGCUCUUGGUUUCCUUCUGAGUUCCUGGGCAGGUGUUGGUACUGAAAAAAUAUGUCACAAGUCAGAGCAGCAUAAUGCAGGGUGAAGUAGCCACAUACUGAAUUGAAAGAGAUACACACAAUCAAGUCCUCCAAGAUGACAAAAGGCAGCUCCAGUAUGCCACUGGGAGAAACUCAUUCUCACAGUCAACACCAGG
rnacentral:lncRNA from 1 species